AAAUUAACUACAAGUAAUCUUGCUACUAAACAAAAGGCAGUUAAAAUGCUUUAGCAAUUCAGCUGUUGUUUAAUAAAAAGGAUUAAAGACUUACAUUUAUUCUUUUGUCAUUUUUAAACAAAAAAAUUAAAUCAUAUGAUGAAUCAAAAUCAUAAAUCAUACUAUGAUUUCUGAAGAAGUAUCAACAACACUAAUGUUUUAAGGAGCUAUGUCUGAGUCUACAAAACAGUUAUUUUGUCGGGUUUUACAAGAAAAGUUAAAAAGCAUUACCCACGAGAAUCACGAAGCUUUGCUUUAACCUUAUUUAAUUUUUAUUCUGCUAAAGCAUAUAGUUAUGUUAGAAAAAAGUUCAAUGCACUUCCUCAUUUACGAAUUAUACAAAAAUGGUAUGGUAUGAAAAUGUUGACUGUUCCCCUGGAUUUUGUAAAUAAGCUCUUGGUACUCUUCAUAACAAAGUAAAAGAGGCUCAGAAAAUUGGUCAACGUCUUGUGUGUUUAUUGAUGUCAGACGAAAUGGUCAUUUAAAAACAAUUAAAUGGACAGGCCAUAAAUUGUCUGGUUAUACUGAUUUUGGUGCUGAUAUUAAUAAUGAUAGUUUACCUAAAACAAAAGAAGCUUUAGUUUUUAUGAAUUAAUGGACGUUGGAAACUUCCUGUUGCAUAUUUUUAAAUUAAUGGUUUAGGUGGUUGUGAAAAAGCUAAUAUUGUUAAGCGUUGUCUACAAUUUAUUUAUGAAAGUGGUGCAGAAAUUAUAAAGUUAUUAUUGCUAAAUAUUUAAAGAUAAGAUUGCACCACAAAGCUGACUCGAUCAACAAAUUACUACAUAAUAAACGUAUACAAAGUGUAUUAACAAAGUAAAUUGAAUUUUUGAAUUAAUAAAAAGUUAUUUUGUAUAUUAAUGAAUAACAAAACAGAUAAAAUUGUAUUA